rnacentral:rRNA from 1 species
UACGAACGCUGGCGGCGUGCUUAGCACAUGCAAGUCGAGCGGAAAGGCCCUGCUUUUGUGGGGUGCUCGAGUGGCGAACGGGUGAGUAACACGUGAGUAACCUGCCCUUGACUUUGGGAUAACUUCAGGAAACUGGGGCUAAUACCGGAUAGGAGCUCCUGCUGCAUGGUGGGGGUUGGAAAGUUUCGGCGGUUGGGGAUGGACUCGCGGCUUAUCAGCUUGUUGGUGGGGUAGUGGCUUACCAAGGCUUUGACGGGUAGCCGGCCUGAGAGGGUGACCGGCCACAUUGGGACUGAGAUACGGCCCAGACUCCUACGGGAGGCAGCAGUGGGGAAUAUUGCACAAUGGGCGGAAGCCUGAUGCAGCAACGCCGCGUGCGGGAUGACGGCCUUCGGGUUGUAAACCGCUUUCGCCUGUGACGAAGCGUGAGUGACGGUAAUGGGUAAAGAAGCACCGGCUAACUACGUG